CAGAAGGAGAAACGCUGGUUUCUCCGGACAGGGGCGGGGCCACGUCGCUUCCAGGAGAUUACGUCGUUUGCGUUAAGUUACCGGCGCGGGUGGCGGGGCAGUCAGGGAAGGGACUCCAUUUUACCUGGUGGGACAUAGGAGAGCAAGACAAGGACCGCAAGGCCCAAGAGGACACUCCUUGUGACCAUAAUCAGCAAAGAAGCGGCUUCGGUGCCGGGGAGAGUGACUCUACGCAGCCUUGGAUGUUUGUGAUGUGGUCGAGACAACACAUCUGUGACAGACUCAUAGAGAACCGCGGAGCAGAAGAAAAUCAGCAAAUAGACUAGAGGACCUGAGUUUCGAAGAGCACAGAGAAAAGAUGAAGCACACACAAGUGCAUGAAGGGACUCUCCUGAGAACCACUUUCCAACCUGCAGCAAUAGAAUCUGCCUCCAGCCAGGCUUAAAUUACGGCUGUGUUUCAUAACAUCCCGGCUCUGCUGAGCGCUCAGUGGUUCUCCAGAGGAAAGAAAAGGCAGAGCAGACAUUUUCACUGUCACGUUUAUAUCAAGAAAAGGCAGCAUUGAACAGCCCAGGGCCUCUUCUUCCUGGAAUUCUGUAGAAGCCUGUGAUCUCCCCAGUACGCCCCUCCAGGAAGAGUGAGGCCAGUGGCCAGCCCCACCCAGCUCAGCCCAGCCCAGCUCUAUAAAGGAGCCUCUCAGACAGCCUGGAAGUUCCAGCCCUGUGCGCUCCUUGGCCAUGAACCUCUAUCUUUCUCCGUUACUCCUCUUCCUGGCAAUCUUAUUGCCUUCAGGUGAAGAAUGCUUUCCAAGGUCACACAACAAGUAAGAGUUAGUGCUGGGUUUGAACCCAGGCAGUUUUCGCCCAGUGUCUGGUUUUGCUGCCCCUCUCCAUCAGUAAGUAUGAGAAUGUGGCCAGAUUGUGGUUCCAAAGAGGAGGAGGCAAGAAUCCAACUAGACCCCGGAAGGACAAGCCCCUCAAUGCUCAUCCUGUGGUUUAAGGCCACCGUGCUUCUGGCUGCCAAGUCGCAUUCAUGGCUCUGUACUCAGUGGCUUUCAUGAGUCACGGUCCCUCAGAUCCCACACACCGAUCUGCUGCUUUCACCACAGAGGUGGAGCGUUGGCCCACACACGCCCACUCCAAACCUGCAGUGUCUGUGGGGCAGCACUGCCCAGGGUCCUCACCAUCCACUCCAGGGUUUCCACCUGGAGGCAGAGGCCUCGGGUCUGCAUGGAGACCCUAAUUGUCCUCUGCUAAGAAAAGUGAAGGGUAGCUUUGUUUCAGAUCUCACUUCUCCAGGAGCGUGCCUGGCGGGCAUGCUCUGAACAUCUGCACUGAAUGCUAAGCAGGGGUGAGCUGCCUGCUCAGAGCUCUGCCUCAACAUCAGUCCCCCAAAUUCCAGCAAAGAAGAAAAACCAGAGAUCACCCUGGUCCACGAGGCGGGCCUCCGAGGGCACUGUGCUUCAGCUGGUCACUGUGGGCGUGCGGGUGUCCACAGAGGUCCUGUGUGCAAGGGCACUGUGCUUCAGCUGGUCCCUGUGGGCAUGCAGGUGUCCACAGAGGUUCUGUGUGCGAGGGCACUGUGCUUCAGCUGGUCCCUGCGGGCGUGCGGGUGUCCACAGAGGUUCUGUGUGCGAGGGCACUGUGCUUCAGCUGGUACCUGUGGGCGUGCGGGUGUCCACAGAGGUUCUGUGUGCGAGGGCACUGUGCUUCAGCUGGUCCCUGCGGGCGUGCGGGUGUCCACAGAGGUUCUGUAUGUGAGGGCACUGUGCUUCAGCUGGUCCCUGCGGGCGUGCGGGUGUCCACAGAGGUUCUGUGUCAGACCACCUGCCCGUGCUCACUUCAAACUACCUCUUACCAAAAAAAAAACAGGACAUUGCAACAGUUCACAAAUAAUACAAAUGCGUUGAAAUUAACAUGAAAAAAGAAAAUACAAGAGAAAACCGGGUGAAAGGAAAAAGCAGAUAUACUUUCACCAGAUGUCAAAAGGAUCCAAAGCUCAAAAAAGGCUAAAGCCGUCGACCCUUUUCUUGCAGUUCCUAAGUUCAUGGCCACUCCUGCCUGGUGGAGAUGCUGCUCUAACCUUGACAGUAGGGCAGAAAAGACACAUCUCUCUCCAGCAGCAUUCAGAGAGGACCGAAGCAUGUACAAUUAUUUCUGCUGAAAACCCACACGGGAAACAAGAAUACAAAGUCAUCACACCAACAGCAUAAUGUAUUGACCCUGCAGCCCCUGGGUGUGGACCUAGUCAGGGGGCCGUGUCUCUGAGGAGGCACGAGUGCCAAUCUUGCUCUCCAAGUCCCAGGACACCCAUGGGGAGGGUCCACAAUUUAGGCUUAGAGACCUCUGUCCCCAGAAAUGUUAUUGGGAUGAGUGACAGAAUCACAUGAGUGCCAUCGAGAUAUCAGUUUUCCCUGGUGCAGCAAACUGUUUCAGGACAGUGAAUCCACAGGCCCGCCCUGAGGACAAAAGCAAUUCUAUCACACAGAGUUGAUAGGAGUAGCAGUUCCUUAUGCUCCCUCCAAAAAAUACCCAAUUGCUACGUACUGCAGCAUGUUUCACAAGCCAUGCCAACCCUCACAGUUUAGGGUUUAAGCAGGCAAUGCCAGUGGCCACACGCUGAAGGGACAAUGACUUAGUCUGGACGUCAGUCGUGGCGGGUUUUUUAUUUUUGCUUUUUGUUUGUUUUUUUUCUGAGAUGGAGUCUCGAUUUGUCGCCCAGGCUGAAGUGCAGUGGUGUGAUUUGGACUCACUGCAACCUCCACCCUGCCUCCAUGAGGCGGGUUCAAGCUAUUCUCCUGCCUCAGCUCCCAAGUAGCUGGAACUAUGGGCACACGCCACCAUGCCCAACUAAUUUUUUUGUAUUUUUAGUAGAGACAGGGUUUCAAAGUGUUGGCCUGGCUGGUCUCAAACCCCUGACCUCAAGUGAUCCACCAGCCUCGACUUCCCAAAGUGCUGGGAUUACAGGUGUGAGCCACCACACCAGGCCAAUAUCAUGGCUUCUUAACUCAGGCAGGAGCCAGGACCAGUGUGCAAUACGGGAGCAAUUGACUGUGAGUGUGAGGUGUUCAGACGGAUUCCUGGCUCUGAUUCCUGAGGUUGUUUGUAAGGAAGUCGUCCAAUCUUGUUCUCCAAAAUCAGAGCAGAUUGGGUGGGCACGGUGGCUCACGUCUGUAUCCCAGCACUUUGGGAGGCAGAGGAGGGCAGAUCACAAGGUCAGGAGUUCAACACCAACUUGGCCAACGUGGUAAAACUCCAUCUCUACUGAAAAUACAAAAAUCAGCUGGGUGUGGUGGCAGGUGCCUGAAAUCCCAGCUACUCUGGUGGCUGAGGCAGGUGGCUGCGCCGAGAGGCACAGGUUGCAGUGAGCCGAGAUUGCGCCACUGCACUCCAGCCUGGGUGACAGAGCAAGACUCUGUCUUGGGGAAAAGAAAAAAAAAUGGAGCAGAUUACUCAACUAACUUCAACCCAUCAGGGGACCUGAUAGUGUAAAAUCUUCAUAACUAAAGUGCAGGAGUAAAAACUAACAUUCAGAACAGACGAGGCAUUUUCCCAGGACCAUGCAACUCAUCAGUGUGCAAAGCUGGGAUUCACACACAGGUCUAGCCCCUCCCUUUCUGCUUCCUGAUCUGUAGUAUGACGCCCCGGUCUCUCUGAGGGUACUGCUGGCACUGGAAAGGGAAGAGGUGAACUGCAACCUUCUGGAGAUGUGGAGUCAGGUCAGAAAAGCAUGAGUCAGGUCGUUGAGAGAAAUCAGCCCUUCCAACCAGACCACGAGGCAGGGAUCCUUAAGCUUAUAGCCUGGGACUUUGAAAGGACCUGAUUGGUUAAAACUGGUCUGAGAAAGUUCCUUCCCAGUAUCUGGGCUGGAGAUUUCUAGCUUCUGCCCAGUUUUCCCCACAGGCUAGCACUGCUCAGCUCUGCUCAACGGCGGAGCUAGACAAGAGAGUAAUUGAGAAGAAGGAGAAGCCGCAGAAGAAGCUGACCUUCCCUUCAACUGCCCUGUAGUUAGCUCCCUUGCAGAGAGAUAAAAGACCUUGAACCAAAGUCUCUGGGCGCACUUGAUGGUGCUUUUCCUCCCCCAGCCUCAGGUGCAGGCUGACUCCUGGGUGCCUGGCUGGCUGCAGCCCAAGUCCUGAUGAGUGCAGCCUGUAUCUUGAUGGCCUUCAUUGUGCCUGGAGGAGGGCAGAGGAGUACAAAUGUUCGAGGUGUCCCAGGACUUCCACAGACCAAAACCUCCCUGGAGUGGGGAAAGGCGUUUAUUGGAUUUGGCAGAAUGUUCAAAGCCUUACGUCCUCUCCACGUGCACUCACGAGGCUCUGUCAUCUGCAGUUGGCCUCCUGACACUGCGUAGGCAUUCUCUAUAGGACAGACCCUUCACACACACCGGAAAAAAGCAGGCUGGCUUUCUGACUUUGCAGGCAGAUGUCCUGGAGGCUUGGUAACUAUAACAUAAAUCGCUUCUAGGGAACCCAGCUAAAUCAGCUUUCAGAACUUCUAUUUACUGGGUUCAUUUCAUCUCAAAUGCUGAGAACUGUGAGCCAGGCCCAAAUACAAAAGCCCCUUGAGGCUGAGUGUGAUGGUUCACUCCUGUAAUCCCAGCACUUUGGAACUGCAACGUGGGGCAGAUUGCUUGAGCACAGGCGUUUAAGACCAGCCUGGGCAACAUGGUGAAAGCCCAUAUCUUCAAAAAAUACAAAACUUAGCUGGGUCUGGUGGCUCACAGCUGUACUCCCAGCUACUCAGGAGGCUGAGGUGGGGGGAUCACUUGAGCCUGAGGGGGUCAAGGCUGCAGUGAGCCAUGAUUGCACCACUGCACACAGCCUGGGUGAGUUACCAAGACCCUGUCUCAAAAAUACAAAUUUAAAAAGCCCCUCGGGAAACCCUGCCUAAUAUUACUGAACAUACUUGUGCUUUUCUUCACCAUUGCUACAGGGGAAUCUGAAUUCCUCCCGGUUCUGCAAUUCCCUACCACGGGCUCAGAAACCUUAGUUAUUCUGAAAGCAGCAAGAGGUCAGUUUUAGGCCAAAAUCCAUUUAUUCUGCUCUCAAUGUCUUUCAAAGGAAAAUGGAAAUAACGCAAUGCUCCACAUGGUGAUCGAGGAGGAACAGGAUGUUUCCCCUUCAUUUCUCCAAACUGUGCUUAGGCAAGUGCCGGAGCCACGAAGAGCCCCACCUCACUCUUGCUCUCCUUCUCUUAGUCCUCUCUGUCUCAUGUAAGGCAGAAUCUUUGGAGGAUACAGAGAGUAAUUACAAAUAAGUACUGGGUUCUGCUGGCCCAGGGUGUGCUGACUUUCUGCUCCUCCCAUGGCGAGCCGCCAUGGCCAAGGGCUCGUUCUCCCCGCCCCUCUGCCCGCUUAGCCUACGAGCAAAGAGAGAGUUCCACUUGCCACCCGUCUUCACAGACACUUGCAUCGCCUGUCUUCUAUAAUCUCACCCUCUGGGGGGUGUGUAGUGGUGUCUCAUCAGUUUUGUUUUUGUGGGGUUUUUGUUUUGUUUUGUCUUGUUUGAGCCAGAGUUUCCCUCUGUCACCCAGGCUGGAGUUCAGUGGUGCCAUCUCAGCUCACCGCAACCUCAGACUCCCGGCUCAAACGAUUCUCACGUCUCAGACUCCUGAGUAGUGUGCCAUUACACUCGGUUCAUUUUUGUAUUUUUGUAGAGACAAGGUUUCUCCAUGUUGGCUGGUGUGGUCUCAAACUUCUGACCUCAGGUGAUCCACCUGCCUCGGCUUCCCAAAGUGCUGGAAUUACCUGCAUGAGCCACUGUGCCCUGCCAAACAAAAACCAGUUUUAAAAUUAGCUGGAUGUGUCUCUUAAAAACGUGUUUUGGCCAGGUGCGAUGGCUCACACCUGUAAUCCCAGCACUUUGAGAGGCGGAGGCAGGUGGAUCAGGAGGUCAAGAGUUCAAGACCAGCCUGGCCAACCUGAUGAAAACCCCUCUCUACUAAAAAUACAAAAAUUAGCUGGGCAUGGUGGGGCACACCUGUAAUCUCAGCCACUCAGGAGGCUUAGACAGGAGACUCAUUUGAACCCAAGAGGCAGAGGUUGCAGUGAGCCAAGAUCAUGCCAUUGGACUCCAGCCUGGGUGACAGAGCCAGACUCUGUCUCAAAAAAAAAAAAAAGUUGUGGUUUUUGUUUGUUGUUUUUGUUGUUGUUGUUGUUGAGAUGGAGUCGCCCUCUGUCGCCCAGACUGGAGUGCAGUGGCCAUGGGUUCCAGCAAUUU